rnacentral:snRNA from 1 species
GUGAAGGAGAUCAGGCUAUGACAUCUGUCACCCCAAUAGUCAGCAGACUUGAUUCAGUUAAUCUGGCUGACUAAGAAGGUGUCCCCUUCCUCCCACAGGGAAAGAAUGGCUCCAUGUGAGCUUGGCCUAAGAAAAUGAAUGUCCUUCUUUGAAUAGGAAAGAACUGGUCUUCAGUCAAAGGUAUAAGAGUAGUUGCACUCCCCAGUCAGAACCUCCAAACAAGUUCUUGUCUUUUUUCUGCUGCACUUUCUGCUUACUCACGGCCUUAUUUUAACCCUCUCACAAUCUCUCACUAGCAUAAAAUGAAUAGCCUAUAAUUGGUGUCAUGCUAAAUACCAAUUCCU